rnacentral:rRNA from 1 species
UACGAAGGGUGCAAGCGUUACUCAGAAUUACUGGGCGUAAAGCGUGCGUAGGUGGUUUGUUAAGUCUGAUGUGAAAGCCCUGGGCUCAACCUGGGAAUUGCAUUGGAUACUGGCAGGCUAGAGUGCGGUAGAGGGUAGUGGAAUUCCCAGUGUAGCGGUGAAAUGCGUAGAUAUUGGGAGGAACACCGGUGGCGAAGGCGGCCCUCUGGACCGGUACUGACGCUGAUGCGCGAAAGCGUGGGGAG